rnacentral:rRNA from 1 species
CCUACGGGAGGCAGCAGUGAGGAAUAUUGGUCAAUGGGAGUAAGCCUGAACCAGCCAAGUCGCGUGAGGGAUGAAGGCUCUAUGGAUUGUAAACCUCUUUUAUAGGGGAAUAAAGUGCGGGACGUGUCCCGUUCUGCAUGUACCUGAUGAAUAAGGAUCGGCUAACUCCGUGCCAGCAGCCGCGGUAAUACGGAGGAUCCGAGCGUUAUCCGGAUUUAUUGGGUUUAAAGGGUGCGUAGGCGGACUUUUAAGUCAGCGGUGAAAGUCUGGGGCUCAACCCUCGAAUUGCCGUUGAAACUGGAUGGCUUGAGUAUGUGAGAGGCAGGCGGAAUGCGUGGUGUAGCGGUGAAAUGCUUAGAUAUCACGCAGAACCCCGAUUGCGAAGGCAGCCUACCGGGCCAUGACUGACGCUGAUGCACGAAAGCGUGGGGAUCAAACAGGAUUAGAUACCCCUGUAGUC